rnacentral:rRNA from 1 species
UUGGGCUGCGGAGGGAUCAUUACCGAGUUUACAACUCCCAAACCCCUGUGAACAUACCACUUGUUGCCUCGGCGGAUCAGCCCGCUCCCGGUAAAACGGGACGGCCCGCCAGAGGACCCCUAAAACUCUGUUUCUAUAUGUAACUUCUGAGUAAAACCAUAAAUAAAUCAAAACUUUCAACAACGGAUCUCUUGGUUCUGGCAUCGAUGAAGAACGCAGCAAAAUGCGAUAAGUAAUGUGAAUUGCAGAAUUCAGUGAAUCAUCGAAUCUUUGAACGCACAUUGCGCCCGCCAGUAUUCUGGCGGGCAUGCCUGUUCGAGCGUCAUUUCNACCCUCAAGCACAGCUUGGUGUUGGGACUCGCGUUAAUUCGCGUUCCUCAAAUUGAUUGGCGGUCACGUCGAGCUUCCAUAGCGUAGUAGUAAAACCCUCGUUACUGGUAAUCGUCGCGGCCACGCCGUUAAACCCCAACUUCUGAAUGUGACCUCGAUCAGGAG